CUGGGGAGCUAGCCUGCACGUUGCUGGGGACCAAGGAACAGAGUCCCGCAGGACAGGAAGCAAGGCACAGUUAAGGUGCCGGCAAGCCGCAGACUUAGCAGCUCGGAGGCCGACUGCGACCCGAAACGCGAGACGCCCAGAGCGACCCGACCCAAGUGCGCGCGAGGACACAAUUCCGCCGGCAGCGCCCCUCCUCCCCGGAGCGGAGGCCCGGCCCUCGGGGCGUGGCCCGGAAGCUACCGACCAAUCCGUGUCGCGAGGCUUGGUCACGUGACCGCCGGUCGGCCGAGGGUUUCCUGCCUUCCGCCUCGCAGCUCCGCCCAACGCGGCGAAAGGCCGCUGCCACCACGCCGGCGAGGAGCUUCUCGCGAGAGCAACCCAGACAUCCUGGCCUCCCGUUGGUCCGGCGCUGGCUGGCACCGCGCCCUCGAACCGAGAGCCGUGAAGUGCGGUGGCUCCGGUACAAGUGAUGGAGGCGCCCCCAGGACAGCAGGCUCGUCGGGGCUGCCUUGGCUUCUUCUUGCCGCAUCCAGCCAGGCCCCGGGGACCCCGAGGCCCUGGACGUGCACUUCCCGGGGCCGGAAGCGGCGACCGGGUUUGCAGGCGUCCGUGGGGGCCUCGGCUCGCAUGAUUUCCCGGCUUCUCAGAAUCUUUGUCGCCACUGCCACUACACCCACUGAAAAUCUGAGGCACGAGAGAACAUUCCAGCAGGAAAUCCAGGGUCGACCUCAUCUGAGAUGUGAUGUGAGCACCGCUCUUGUUUGCGCGUUCCACGGUGCUCAAGCGUCUCCCCAGAAGGGUUCACCUAUCCUUUAACCACCCUGCGGGGCGCGCUUUGUCCUCCCCCUUUUAGAGACGAGGAAACCGAGGUGCCGACAGGUUUGAGGAACUUGUCCAUUGCACAAAGCCAGGCUUCGCAUCUCAGCGUCUCCGACCGGAACCCUCCCCAUCCUCCGGCUGCUUCUGAAUGAGCAGCCUCAGGACCCUGCGGUCUGGAGGGAAAGGUUUGGCCAAAUGCCACCAAGCACUGGUCAGGGAACGGGCUGCACACUUGAUGCCCUGUCCCCGAGGCGCCAGCCGCGGAGCCUAACCUCAGAUGUCCAGUAGAAGACAGCCUGUCACCGGUACCCACCAGAGCCCCUUCCGUGUUUCCAGCCUCCCGUGCUGCACCUGGUUCCCCAGUGCCAAGCUGGCGUGGACCUGGAGGAAGGAGGAGGCAGACCGUGGACCCCAGCUGUGGUGACAGUGCCCUGGCUAUGAAAGGGCCACUUCUUAGCCACGGGGCUGCCAGGAGUGCAAAAAAAUGGGCUUCCUCAGAUACACUUCUCCGAAGGAACUCCUAAGGGGAUAUGAAAAUUGUCCCAUUUAUAUUUAUUCAUAUCAGAUGAACAUUCGUUUCAGGCCCAACAUGAUACCUUCGUGGAGCCAAACGAAUCUACUACUUAAGCCACUUGCGGGAAGCAAAGCACAGCCAUAUUCAGAAAAUAAUGAGAAAGACCAUUAAGUCAAAGGAAAAAGGAAAACAAGUCAAUAAAUCAACUGUGUGUGGCACUACAGAAAAGAUUAAGAACGCCAAGGUGACAUAAGCAUUAAACAUUGUUAUUAAUCUGGGGAAACUUGAUUCCAGUCACAAUGUUCUUUCCUCUACCAGGCAGUGUGCACCUCUACGUGAAUUAGGAAAAGGCAUCCCUUCCUCAAGAUACGUUAUUGCUGUCGGCCGGAAAAAACCUAGGAUGACCUCUAUGAGAAUGGUGUCCCUGAAGUUGCUCAGUGCGUGACAUGCGCCACUGUACAGGGUGGCCGGGAAUGCAAAGCACGCUUGGAUAUCCUUCACGGCAGAGGGUCAUACAGGCCACUGAUCAGGCUGAAGCUUCCCAAGCGCCAACUACAGUUUCCUUUGUGAUCAGGAGCUGAGAUAAAAGACAGGUGUCGCAGAUGUCUGAGCAGCCCCUGUAUCUGUAGGGCUCAAAGAAGUAGGGUCUCCUUUGGUGACCUCAGGGGCACUCACAAUACAUAAUCACAGAGGGGCUGUGCAUCCUGGCUUGUAUGCAGCUGCUGCUUGCCAUCAUAUGACACUUAAUAUUGUAGGUACUGUGAAAAAAAAAAAAAAAAAACCAGGGAGCCUGGGUGGCUCAGUCGGUUAAGCAUCUGAUUUCAGCUCAGGUCACAAUCUUGCAGUCUGUGAGUUCAAGCCCCACAUCAGGCUCUGUGCUGACAGCUCAGAGCCUGGAGCCUGCUUCAGAUUCUGGGUCUCCCCCUCUCUCUGCCCCUCCCCUGCUCAUGCUCUGUCUCUCAAUAAUAAAUUAACGUUAAAAUUGUUUUAAAUAAAUAAAAAACACAUAAUUUAUUAGGUUU